AUGUAUUCCUUGCUCCAGUUCUCCAGGCACAGUAGUGAGAGGUAAACCAGAGAGCAGAUACCUCACAGAGCAUAGAGGGGAGAGCUCUGUCCUGUACUUUGCUGCAGCCUCCCCCUUUUCCUCAGUCCUCAGUGUGCAGUAUUCUAUAAUAACCACUACCAUCAUCUUCUGUGCCAGACUGUACACCACACUGCACCUCCACCACUAACACAAGUGCACGAUUAACUUGGUGCUGGUUUUCUAAUUGGUGGUGAGGACAUGGCCUAUGGAUAUAAUGAAGACUUUUGGGAGGAAGAGAGUCUGCCCAACUUUUGUGAAAUUUUACUUCGCAGUAAUGAUAAACCAAAAAAUUGAAGGAUUUAUGUGAUGUUCCAUGGCACCACAUUAGAUGCCGCCAUCCAGAUUAUUGAGAAUGGUUUUAAGAGGUCAAUUGAUGGAAUGUUAGGGGAAGGUAUCUAUGUCAGCAGAGAUAUAGAGAAAGCAGCUGGGUAUCCUCCAUUCGAACGUUGGAAUCAGGUUAUCUUAAAGUUGAGAGUAAAUGUAGGUAGAGUAAAGAUGAUAGAUCAUCAGGGCCAUCCAUUGCAGAAAACAUGGCGCAACAAAGGGUAUGAUACUGCAUGGGUGCCAAAGUAUUGCGGCAUGGUUUUCAGUGGAUUAGAAGAAGACUGUAUUUGGGACCCUAACAGGAUCAAAGUUGUAGGGAUUGUUAGAGCCCCACCUUUUUCUGUGCACCGAUAUCUGGUGAACCUUCUUGAGAAGUGUACAGAUGAUUAGUGAACCUUCAGCUCCAAAAUACACAGCUCAAAUCUGUCAUGUUUGCCACCGUCUUUGCAUAAAAUACUACAAAAAAAAUAAAA